UACAGAGGUCCCAAGCGUUGUUCGGAUUCAUUGGGCGUAAAGGGUGCGUAGGCGGUGCCGCAAGUCAGAUGUGAAAUCUCGGGGCUUAACCCCGAAACUGCAUUUGAUACUGCGGUGCUUGAGGACUGGAGAGGAGACUGGAAUUCACGGUGUAGCAGUGGAAUGCGUAGAUAUCGUGAGGAAGGCCAGUGGCGAAGGCGAGUCUCUGGACAGUUCCUGACGCUGAGGCACGAAGGCCAGGGGAGCAAACGGG
rnacentral:rRNA from 1 species